CUUAUAACAAAUAAUAUUAUAAAUAUUACUUAGAAACAUUGUUGUGUUCCUAACUAUGAUAGAUAGGCACUAAAAAGUUGUACUAAUUAAAAUUGUAAUUUAGUAUAAUUAAUAAAUAAGUAUAAAAGUUUAGCAUGAAUAAAAUAUUGUUUAAUAUCGCCAGGGAAAUAAAUUAUCUUCUUUAUUUCACAUUGAAUACACUUAGCAUGUUAGUGUACUUUGUGCUAAUCCUAAGCAUUUCUAGGUAUCAAUUCACUACAUACGGUGAGUCACAACUUGUAAUUUUUGGCAAAAAAUGUGAGAUACAAAAUGAACUGUUUUAAUGUGGCACGUUGUAAAAUAGGCCCCUGCGAUGGGAAGGAGCAUGCAAUGUCGGGACAAAUGCUUAAGCGAGGGGUAAAGGCGAUGCCCACAAAAGACCACAUAAGAGGGAAUCCAAAGAAGCAGCUAAAUUUAACUGAAGUGUUGGCUGAGGCAGUGAAGUGUGUUCAUGCUCUCAAGACUGAUGAAUUGAUUACUGACACUAGAGUUAAGGAAGCUUUUGCACAGCUAAUAAAUGAAGUGUACCCACGUCUACCUGAGAGUCUACAGGAUCAACUGCUCGUUGAUUUCAAACUCAAUAUCCUCCGUCGGGCGCAAGAGAAAAAUACUCCCCCGGUUGAGUUGACGGAUGGUGAACAGAAGAAGAACUUCCUCGGAAAGAAAGGAACUCGUACCAAUGCCUUGUGGAUUAUAGAAAAGCUAGUCCUGUUAGUCGGCUUAUGCUGCUUCGUGUACCUCAUGAGCCUCUAUGUCACUGGGUACUGAACACAGAAAGGGGAAACAAAUGUGUGCACAUGGGGAUUCAGUUGCUUCGGACAACAACAACAAUAAUCUUUAAUCACAACACAAGGAUGGGCUCUGCUCUGGUGGUAUGUAGGAUUUGUAUGGCUGGAGAGGAAGUAAUGUAGAUGUGUCUGUCUCAUGCGUCAACUUUGAAGUGAACCUCUAGAAAUAUAUAGCACUGUGGUGUCGUCUUGUUAUUUUUCUCGUGUUGCAAGAUCAAGUCUUGAACUAACGGCUCUGUUG